ensembl:snoRNA small nucleolar RNA SNORA5
UGCAGCUAUGUCAAAUUCAGUACUCCGCCUUCUCCAUGGUGGGUACUGGCCCAAAGAGCUGCCACAGAAACAUCUGUAGUUCAUGGGCCCCAUGUCUCUCUCUUUCUGGACCCUGGGGAUAAAUAUUUGCUACAGACAUUG